rnacentral:pre_miRNA from 12 species
GCCAGUCCUCUGUCUCUGGGCGGGCAGCUGUUAAGACUUGCAGUGAUGUUUAAUUCUUCUCUACGUGAACAUCACAACAAGUCUAUACAGUUUUCCAGCCCCAUACCUCUGGGACAUGC